rnacentral:rRNA from 1 species
AGUGAACGCUGGCGGUAGGCCUAACACAUGCAAGUCGAACGGCAGCACAGUAAGAGCUUGCUCUUACGGGUGGCGAGUGGCGGACGGGUGAGGAAUACAUCGGAAUCUACUUUUUCGUGGGGGAUAACGUAGGGAAACUUACGCUAAUACCGCAUACGACCUACGGGUGAAAGCAGGGGAUCUUCGGACCUUGCGCGAUUGAAUGAGCCGAUGUCGGAUUAGCUAGUUGGCGGGGUAAAGGCCCACCAAGGCGACGAUCCGUAGCUGGUCUGAGAGGAUGAUCAGCCACACUGGAACUGAGACACGGUCCAGACUCCUACGGGAGGCAGCAGUGGGGAAUAUUGGACAAUGGGCGCAAGCCUGAUCCAGCCAUACCGCGUGGGCGAAGAAGGCCUUCGGGUUGUAAAGCCCUUUUGUUGGGAAAGAAAAGCAGCAGGUUAAUACCCCGCUGUUCUGACGGUACCCAAAGAAUAGGCACCGGCUAACUUCGUG